UACGGGGGGGGCAAGCGUUGUUCGGAAUUACUGGGCGUAAAGGGCUCGUAGGCGGCCAACUAAGUCAGACGUGAAAUCCCUCGGCUUAACCGGGGAACUGCGUCUGAUACUGGAUGGCUUGAGUUUGGGAGAGGGAUGCGGAAUUCCAGGUGUAGCGGUGAAAUGCGUAGAUAUCAGGAGGAACACCGGUGGCGAAGGCGGGAUCCUGGGCCAGUACUGACGCUGAGGUGCGAAAGCGUGGGGAGCGAUCCGG
rnacentral:rRNA from 1 species